UGUUAAAAUUUUUAUCUACUUCUACCGUUAAAAUUUGGUGAAACUAACAAAAUAAUAGACAGUUACACGUGGCGUACCAUGUAUGCCUUAUGUUAACGUACAUAGACUAAUUUUUAACGGUAAAAAUAGAUGAAAAUUUUAACA
rfam:Gossypium raimondii Chr04_contig_1411, whole genome shotgun sequence.